UAUGAGUUGGGUUCAACGAAUUUUUUUUAUUUAAUCACAGUGUGCAUGCGUUUGGCGGAGAUGGCAAUUAUUAGCACCAAAACCCGCCGUCCUUACCGCGUGUGACGUGAUCCCCAGGGCAGUUGAGACAGGGGCACGUGGGGCAGCCUUUCCCGCCAUGAAAGACCUGACAGAGAUUCGCCUGGAGAAAAAUGCAGCAGCGGAUAGUUACCAAGGUUGCCUUUAGUAGAAACUAAACUGAACAUGUUCUGAUUAUAGUGAAUUGAUAAAUGUGAUAAAUGCAUACAAGCCUGCUCUACAGGCCCGUUUUCUCCGACAAAACACACUUUUCAAGGACCACAUGCUAUUUAGUAGGCUUGCUAUGCUGCGCAUUCACUCCAAAACUUUGUUGUUUUAAAUAUUUGCCUCCUCAUGCUAAUAGACAAACACCCUUUGACAUAUCACACACAAUGAAAUCCUCAUGAAUAUUUAAUAGAAUUAAAUAUAAAGACUCCACGACUUGUUUCUGCUCUCGCGCUACUGUUUGCUCCCCUGCAGAUAGCAACAUAAAAGCUAACCUCAGCUAGUCACAGAAAACACUGCUCUUUGAGUCCGCUAUUCUGAGCGAGCAGAGCGGAAUAAAAACAGCUAGCGCUCGAAAACUUCAUUUUAAAGUCAACACAGGUAUAUAAAGGAACUAAGAUAAGUAGAUUUGAAAAUAAAACAACGACAAAAAGCUAAACAAACUCCUCCCUUAUUGAGUAAACAUGUGUUGACAACACUUCGUCACUGUGGCUCUCGUUUCUCGCGCUUUUCAAGGUGGCCUAUGUCGCCUGUUCUUAAUGUCAACAACCUUAUAAGUAUUUUAAAAUGGUCUAAUGAUUAUGAAUUAGACGACCUGAUCAAUUAUUCAUACCCAUCACGAAUUCAGCCUUCCUAAACAAUUAUAGUUUUGCCAAACGACAGCGCGCGAAGCGCUUCCCGCUAUUUUCUGAGCGCUCAGGGAGACAAGGUGACGUGGGAAGGCGCUGUUUGUGGGAGGAAGGAUGAACCCUGAGGAGAUUUUCAGGGAGAGAAAUGAUACGCUCUUUUCACAGCCGUCUCGGAAGUACGCGAGAGAUCAUAUUGUCAAGUCUUUGCGUGUCUUCUUGCUUCUUUUGUUUUCUCCUCGCAUUCAAAAUAAUCCCCCAAGCCUACAGCAAUCAGUGCAGCGCACGUCCGAUUCAGACGGGAAGCGUCGAGGACGGGGUGGGUCCCUGGUCCCGCGCACCGGGGGAAAGUGACAGCCUGUCUAAUUGGGACUAAUCAAGCAACUGGGCGCGAGCAGCGACUGUCGCGAUCAGAAAAGAAGCGACAUUGACCCACAGAAAUAGGUACCGCCGUAGGCUGCGUUCAUAUAACAGCGCGGCUGCAUAUUAGAUCCACCUGCCUUUGCUAGCGUAGCCUCAUCUCUUUGGUCAAUAACAAAAAGGAGAGCGAGCGAGAGAGAGAGAGAGAGAGAGCGCGCGCGAAUGAGAGAAAGAGAUGCAGUGAAAAGAGCCACGCUUGACAAAUUUCCCACCGCACAUUAAAAAGGAGCCGCGUUCUGAGGAUAAUGCUACAUUAUUCUUUUUUAUUCUUUAACUCAGAGCUAUUGCUUUGAAUUACAGAGGAAUCUUUGUUAAGAAUAAGAAGGAGAGGAAUCAAAAAUUCAUCAGAGAGAGUUCACGAUGGGCUGAGGAGAAUGUAUUUUUGUGCUGGAACCAACAUUUGCGAAAGUUCCAUCUCCUUAAGCAAUUAUUAGCGGUGAUAGUUUGACAUGCUCAAGAGUUGUCAACAACUGACUUUAAACAAAGUACAAAGCAGAAAUAAACAGAGCCUGGGGCGAAAUUAACUUGGGGACCAGCCGCUCUAUGAAUUAUAAAUGGCUAUCCAUUACCACGGCGAAUGGUGAUACCAGGAGGCCUCGUCAGUGCGGAAUACAGUUGUGAAGGGUGUGAAACAAAGCAGGCGGUUGAUCAAGAAAGGUUCCCACCUCUAGAGGUUCAGGAUUUGUACUUUGAAAGAACACAUACCUUCAGAGCAUUUCACUUUCCUUUUAAUCUCAGGAUACAGCAGUGGCACACAUAUUGACCUCUGUCAACAAAGAACUGGGAGAAGACUCGCUCCCAGAGGUGGAUCUGUUGAAGAUAUGAAAGCCAAAGCGGUCAACAUUGAUAAAAGCUAUCAGCCAUUUCAACUCGACAAGGGACCCGUGACUGCAGGACAUUUGUGAGAGGGUGAACGACUUGAUUGGCACCAGGGAUAGAACUUAAAUUCCCAGUUUUCCAUCCCCGCAGAACUCCACCAAAGGCAUUUUAGGCCGACCAACCGUAUCCUGAGACGUCUCAUUAAUGGUAAAAAGAGAUACAGGAACUAAAGAACAUGUAGCAGGUACUCCCAGCUGGCAUGUAGCAGGAGGCUUUUUACAUAAUUUAAAAGUGAAACUUUCAUAUCAGACAUUUUCAAUUCAAAAGUGUACGGAUUUAUUCGGCCUGAUUGUCUGUGGAGAACGAAAACCAUCCCUGAUGAAAAGCCAGAUAUUUUUUUGCUACACCUCUGCAAACUUCAAAAAGGCUGUAAAUACAGUCGGUACAAAAACACUUGAGAGAAAAAAAAAAGAAACUUCUGACUUCAUUUGAAGUAAACCCAACAUUUGCUCUCAAAGUAAUAAAGGAUCAACAACCUACUACU